GACGAACGCUGGCGGCGUGCUUAACACAUGCAAGUCGAACGGAAAGGCCCUGCUUUUGUGGGGUGCUCGAGUGGCGAACGGGUGAGUAACACGUGAGUAACCUGCCCUUGACUUUGGGAUAACUUCAGGAAACUGGGGCUAAUACCGGAUAGGAGCUCCUGCUGCAUGGUGGGGGUUGGAAAGUUUCGGCGGUUGGGGAUGGACUCGCGGCUUAUCAGCUUGUUGGUGGGGUAGUGGCUUACCAAGGCUUUGACGGAUAGCCGGCCUGAGAGGGUGACCGGCCACAUUGGGACUGAGAUACGGCCCAGACUCCUACGGGAGGCAGCAGUGGGGAAUAUUGCACAAUGGGCGGAAGCCUGGUGCAGCAACGCCGCGUGCGGGAUGACGGCCUUCGGGUUGUAAACCGCUUUCGCCUGUGACGAAGCGUGAGUGACGGUAAUGGGUAAAGAAGCACCGGCUAACUACGUG
rnacentral:rRNA from 1 species